AGCUUUGCGCAGGGGCAGUAUCGUAGCCAGUGAGGUUUAUCCGAGACGCGGGUAUAGCUAUUUGAAACCUUUUCCCAAUACUCCUCCAUGACGACUUGAAAUAUAGUCGGCAAUUACGGAUGGUCUCUAUGGAGA